GACGAGGGGUCCAAGCGUUGCUCGGAAUUAUUGGGCGUAAAGGGUGCGUAGGCGGGUCUUUAAGUCAGGGGUGAAAUCCUGGAGCUCAACUCCAGAACUGCCUUUGAUACUGAAGAUCUUGAGUUCGGGAGAGGUGAGUGGAACUGCGAGUGUAGAGGUGAAAUUCGUAGAUAUUCGCAAGAACACCAGUGGCGAAGGCGGCUCACUGGCCCGAUACUGACGCUGAGGCACGAAAGCGUGGGGAGCAAACAGG
rnacentral:rRNA from 1 species